UACGUAGGGGGCUAGCGUUGUCCGGAUUUAUUGGGCGUAAAGAGCGUGUAGGCGGCCAAGUAGGUCCGGUGUGAAAACUCGAGGCUUAACCUCGAGAUGUCGGCUGAAACCAUCUGGCUAGAGUCCGGAAGAGGAGAAUGGAAUUCCCGGUGUAGCGGUGAAAUGCGCAGAUAUCGGGAAGAACACCCGUGGCGAAGGCGGUUCUCUGGGACGGUACUGACGCUGAGACGCGAAAGCGUGGGGAGCAAACGGG
rnacentral:rRNA from 1 species